AGUGAUGUAACUCAGUGGUAGAGUACUUGCCUAGCAUGUGUGAGGCACUGGGUUCUAUCCCCAGCACUG
rnacentral:tRNA from 1 species